UACAUGGGGUGCAAACGUUGCUCGGAAUUAUUGGGCGUAAAGCGCACGUAGGCGGUUUGUUAAGUCGGAUGUGAAAUCCCGGGGCUCAACCCCGGAACUGCCUUUGAGACUGCAUCGCUUGAAUCCAGGAGAGGUGAGUGGAAUUCCGAGUGUAGAGGUGAAAUUCGUAGAUAUUCGGAAGAACACCAGUGGCGAAGGCGGCUCACUGGACUGGUAUUGACGCUGAGGUACGAAAGCGUGGGGAGCAAACAGG
rnacentral:rRNA from 1 species